CAAUCUUGUUUUGAUUGCUUCCAAAUGGCCAAGAGGUGAAAUGGACACCUUCUCAAUACUGCUUCACCUGACAUUUCCUCAACAAAGCAAUCCUUUGUGGUGGAAAAAGUCAUAAAAAUACUCUUCUCAAGGACCUGAAAAAUCUCCAAGAAAGGAAAAUUACAGCCAGAAUACUUUAUUUACUCCGUUCCACUCAGGCAGGAGGAAAAGGGAACUCCUUGCAACCUCCUAAUGCAGGUCCUGUGCUGACUUCCCUUAAUCCUUCCCUGCCCCUUCCUUCCCUCUGUCCCCGAUGCCCCAGUAGACAGCUAUGUUGCUUCUAUCUAUGCCUGUUACCUUAGGUCGGGUCUCCACAUCCUGGCUUCUACCUUUCAGUACAUAAUGGUGUGCUGUCUGCUCUCUGUGCCGUUAAAUGGCAUUAAUUUUUUUUUUUUUUUAAGGAGAGACCAGACAGUCCUACAUAGCAUAAUGGGUCAGGACAAGAUGACUAGAUACAGCAAAAUGUUGCUGGGAAGCAGAGUGGAAAACGCAAUUGUGAGAGGGGGUCACACGGAUGGGUGGGAGGAGGCCCUGCUAAAAGGAAUCCCCCGAGGGCAGGUGAGCAGAGCUGUGGACUACCAGAAUCAACAGCAUGCAGACAGACACAAAUCAGCGUCCAGGGCAUUCCCUGGACUUGGGCUAGCCUAGGUUCACUGAGGCAAGGUCUUCCUUGGCGGUCAAAAGCCACCUAGUAUCCAAGGAAAAUGAGAAUCAGAUACGCACGUGAUAAUCCUGGACUCUGGAAGUGGGCUCAGCCUCUGCGUUCUUACCUGUUUUUGUUUUCCAGUUCUGCAAUAAGCUGUCUUUGUUGUUUGUUGGCAUCAAAGUUAAAGCUCAAGUCAGUGGGAGGACGAGUCUAAAGUGGGGAAGUCGGGAGAAAGUUUUUUUUUUUCUGAUCCAAAUAUACCCAGAGUUCUAGAUUGACUGAUUUUUAAAAAAGAUUUUUGACAUAUAAUUUACAUAUCAUAAAUCCACCCGUUUUAAGUAUACAAUUCAAUGAGUCUUAGUAAAUUUAAACAGUUGUGCAACCAAUCACCACAGUCCAGUUUUAGAACAUUUUCCAUCACCGCAAAAAAUUCCCUCAUGCCAGUUUGUCACCAGUCGCCACUCCCACCCCCAACCUCAGGCAGCCAUGCGUCUGCUUUCUGUCUAUAGUUCUGCCUUUUCUAGAAACUUCAUAUAAACACAUAGUCUUUGGUUUCUGGCUUCCACUUGGCAUAAUGUUUUUGGGGUUAAUUCAUGUUUUUCCAUGAACUAGUCUUUUUUUUUUUUUUUUUUUUUUGAGAUAAGGUCUUGCUCUAUCACACAGGCUGGUAUGCAGGAUGCAGUGGCAUGAUCACAGCUCACUGCACUCUUGAACUCCUGGGCUCUCACCUUGGCCUCUGAGUAGAUGGGACUAAAGGCACAUGCCACCGUGCCUGGCCUAGUAGUCCCUUCUUUUUUAUUGCUGUAUAGUAUUCUAUUGUUUCCAGCUUUUGGUUAUUAUCUAUUGUUUCCAGCUUUUGGUUAUUACAAAUGAAGAUGCUAUGAACUUUCAUUCACAAGUAUUUGUCUAUGUAUGUUUUCAUUUCUCUUGGGUAGACACCUAGGAGUAAAAUUGCUGAAUUAUAUGAUAACUAUAAUUAACAUCUGAGGAACUCCCAAACUGCUUUCUAAAGUGGCUGUACCAUUUUACAAUUGCAUUAAUAAUAAAUGAGAUUUCCAAUUUCUCUACAUCUUCACCAACACCUGUUGUUUUAUUUACUUUUUAUUUUUUAUUUACUUACUACUUUUUUCUUUUAACCAUCCUAGUAGGUAUCAAGUUCUCAAUAGUAAAUUUUUUAAAAAUUAAGAUAUAAUUUUCCUACCAUAAAAUCCACUUUUAAAAAGCAUAUAAUUCAGUAAUUUUUUUUCCUUUUUGAGACAGAGUCUCACUCUGUCACCAGGCUGGACUGCAACGGCAUGAUCUUAGUUCACUGCAACCUCUGCCUCCCGAGUUCAAGCAAUUCUCCUGCCUCAGCCUCCCGGGUAGCUGGGACUACAGGUGUGCACCACCAUGCUCAGCUCAUUGUUUGUAUUUUUAGUAGAGACAGGGUUUCACCAUAUUGGCGAGGCUGGUCUCAAACUCCUGACCUCAAAUAAUCCACCCACCUUGGCCUCCCAAAGUCCUGGGAUUACAGGUGUGAGCCAUCAGGCUUGGCCGAAUUCAGUAGUUUUAAUGUAUUCAUGAGGUUGUGAAGCCACCACCCCAAAAAGAAACAGCAUACCCAUUAAGUAGUCAUUCCCCAUCCCCCUUCCCUCGCCCUUGACCUCCAUUAUCCAUCUCUAUGAAUUUGCCUAUUCUGGAUAUUUCAUAUAAAUGGAGCCAUACAAUAUUGACCUUUUAUGUCUAUCUUUUUUCACUUAGCAAAAUGUUUUUAAAGUUCACCCAUGUUGUACCACAUAUCAGUACUUCAUUCCCUUUUACAGCUGAAUAAUAUUCCAUUACAUGGAUAUACCACUAUUUGUUUACCCAUUCAUCAGCUGAUGAACAUUUGGGUUGUUACCACUUUUCAGCUGUUUUGAAUAGUGCUGCUUUGAGCAUGUAUGUUGAGUUAUGUUAUUAUUUCUCUUGUGUACGUACCUAGGAAUGGAAUUACUGGGUCAUAUGGUAACUGCCUUUUGAGAAACUGCCAAACUGUUUUCAAAAGUGACUGUAUUAUUUUACAUUCCUGCCAGCAAUGUAUCAAGGUUCUAUUUUUUCCACAUCAUCCUAAUGGGUGUGAAGUGGUAUCUCAUUGUAAGGCAAUUCGUAUUUCCCCAAUGACUAGUAUGUUGAGCGUACUUUCAUGUGCUUACUGGCCAUUUGUAUAUGUUUUGUGGAGAAAUUAUGUGAUUGUGAUUUGCAUAUCCACUGAUAUUUCUGACCCUUGUUAACUCCUUUAAGAAUAUGGUAGCCAGCAGGUGCGGUGGCUCACACUUGUAAUCCAGCACUUCGGGAAGCCGAGGCAGGAGGAUCAUGAGGUCAGGAGUUCAAGACCAGCAUGGCCAACAUGGUGAAACCUUGUCUCUAGUAAAAAUACAAAAAUUAGCCAGGUGUGGUGGUGGGCGCCUGUAAUCUCAGCUACUUGGGAGGCUGAGGCAGAAGAAUUGCUUGAACCUGGGAGGUGGUGGUUAUAGUGAGCUGAGAUUGUGCCACUGCACUCCAGCCUGGGUGACAGAGCGAGACUCCAUCUGGGGAAAAAAGAAAAAAAAAAGAAUAUGGUAGCCAAUGAACAUGAGUAGGUGGUGGCUCCCUUUUAUUGAUUAACCAGAAAGGCAGCUCUCACUGAGGGCUCCACGAUGACCCUGCUUCACUCUGUACACUCUUGGCUCUGCCUGAAACAUGUUGUACCAUGAAGACCUUGUUUCCUGUCUAGAGCAUGAAGAUUCAGUAAGUCUUUUCAUGUGGCAGUUUCUAAAUAAACAAGGGCAAAACAGCAUAGCAAAUCUGGGUAAGAGGCUUUUUACCAAAUUAUCAAGUGUUUUUCUUUUUUAAAAGAAAAAAAAAACCAAGAUGAUUUUUCUUCCUCCAGAGAAGCAUGGACUGGCAGCCUACUGAGUAAAUUUUCUAUAUUGUAGUCAGUCUUGUGAGAGCCUGAGUUGAGUCUCAGAAAAGUAGCUUGCUUGAGACUGAGGCUGGCUGUGAAGAACAGGUUUGCAAUUCCUGAAAACUGGAGCUAAAAGUAACAGCUGCUUAAUAGAGUGAGACGAGGGAAAAUUAUGGGUCAGGAGGUAAGCUCUGAAAGAAAUUUGCUUCAUAUGAUGAUGAAAAGAAGCCCUGUGGCACUUCUCUGGAAGUAUCUAGAGAAGCUUUCUGGUUUUGAGUAACUGCAAAGCCAAGGGAUCUUCCACAGAGGAGGUUAAUAUAGGAAUCAAGUCAUUAUCAACAGAGAUUCCUAAUCAGGUAAGACUGGUUGGCUCCAAGAAGCACUGUAAUGCAAAUAUAAAGAAGUAGGGGUGGAGGAAGGUUCCAAUCCUGAGGCAGCAGUUCCCCUAGGGGCAGCUGGUGUCCCGGCAGGACUCCUCAGUGAUGAGUGUCCAGUGAUGGCUUAUCUCACUCAAUCAAACUUUAAAUACAGUCAAGUAUACAUCAAAUAACAGAAACUUAGAACUUUUAUCUAUGUACUUUUUUUUUUUUUUGAGACAGAAUCUUGCUGUGUCGCCCAAGCUGGAGUGCAGUGGCAUGAUCUCGGUUCACUGCAGCCUCCGCCUCCUGGGUUCAAGCGAUUUUCCUGCCUCAGCCUCCUGAGUAGCUGGGAUUAUCAGCAUGUGCCACCAUGCCUGGCUAAUUUUUGUGUUUUAAGUAGGGACAGGGUUUCACCAUGUUGGCUAGGCUGGUCUCAAACUCCUGACCUCAAGUGAUCUGCUCACCUCGGCCUUCCCGAGUGCUGGGGUUACAGGCAUGAGCCACCGCACUCAGCUUUUAUUUACAAUCUUAAACACCAUAGUGCUCAUUAAGAAGAAGAAGAAGAAAAAAGCCAAGUCUCUUCCUAAAAUGCCUUCAGGACACUGAAGGGAAAAAGACGGGAAUGAUUUCAUAACAACAUAGGAGACUUUGUUGAUCCAGUUCAUAAAGACAUAGGAUGCUUUGGCCAGAGAGACAUGAAGAUGAUUUCUUUCAAAAAAUAAGUAGUUCACACAUUUAUUCAACAGAUACUUCCUGAGCUCCUACUAUGUGCCAGGCACUGCUCUACCAGUUAGGGAUGUUCUGGUGAAUAGCCCCACCCCCAUGGAGCUCAGAUUACACUGGGAGAAAAAUAAGAAACCCAAAAAAUAAAUAUAGACAUCAGCAGGGAUAAUGCAAUAAAGAAAUGCAGGGUAAGGAAACAGUGAACCGGGACAGAAAAUUCUUUUUAAAUGAGGUGGUGAUGAAAGGGCUCUCAGAGACUCAAUGAAGUGAGGAAGCCAACCAGGUGAAGGUCUGAGGGAAGGCCUGCUGGGCAGAAAGAAGGGCAAAUGCAAGGCCCUGCAGCUGCUUGGGCUUGGGGUGUUCAGAUCAGUGCUGACGGAGGGAAGGAAGCUGUGGUAAGAGCGAGGCACGGGGAGAUGAAGGGUCUAGACCAGGGGUAUCCAAUCUUUUGGCUUCCCUGGGCCACACUGGAAGAACUGUGUCUUGGGCCACACACAAAAAAACUAAUGAUAGCUGAUGAGCUAAAAAUAAAUAAAUAAAUAAAUACACAAAUCACAAAAAAAUCUCAUAAUGUUUUAAGAAAAUGUAUGAAUUUUUGUUGGGCCACAUUCAAAGCCAUCCUGGGCUGCAUGCAGCCCACAGGCCAUGGGUUGGACAAGCUUGGUCUAGACCAUACAGGGCCUCUGAGCCAUGGAGAGGAGUUUCCAUUUCAUUCUGAAUGUGGUGUGAAGCCACUGUAGGAUUCUGGGCAGGGGAAUAUGAAAUUUGAUUAUAUGUGUUAAAAACACUGUUCUACAUUUACAUAAAUAAGUGGCUGAGUAAUUUAAUACAUGGGGAAGAACAGACAAAUUUCCCAUACAGAAGAAUUCCAAAUAAGGUAUGGACAUACUCUGCCCUCAAGGAGGUGAAGCCUAACUCCCCAUUCCUUAAGAGAAGCCUGUGCAUAGUGACUUCCUUCCGAAGAGUCUGUGUGGAAAGGAAAAGGAAUAACUUUAUGUUGGAGAAACCUGACGAACACUGCCACAGCCAGGUGAUCAAGGUCAGCAUCAACAGUGACAACUCAUGUUGAUAGUAGGUACCUCUUGAUACGCCAUGAUGAAAAUGGCACUUUACCUUUUCCUUUCCCAAACCCAUAACCCCAGUUCUAAUCAAGAGAUAAACAUCGGACAAAUUACAGUUAUUAGACAGUCUAUAUCUGACUAGUACUCCUAAAAAUUGUCAUGGUCAUCAAAAACAAGGAAAGUCAGAGAAACUGUCACAGCUAAGAGGAGCCUAAGAUGACAUGACAACUAAAUGUAAUGUAUCCUGGAUGGAACAGAAGAAGGACAUUAGGUAAAAACUUAGAAAAUAUGAAUAAAGUAUGGACUUUAGUUAAUAAUAAUGUAUCAAUAUUGCUUCACUAAUUGCAAUGAAUGUACCAUACUAAUUCAAGAUGUUAAUAACAGGGGAAACUUGGCUGGGUUGCUCACUCCUGUAAUCCCAGCACUCUGGGAGACAGAGGUGGGAGGUCAUUUGAGGCCAGGAGUUCGAGACCAGCCUGGUCAACACGGCAAAACCCCUACUCUACAAAAAAUACAAAAAAAAUUAACCAGGCUUGGUGGCGCGUGCCUGUAGUCCCAGCUACUAGGGGGCUGAGGUGGGAGGAUUGCUUAAGCCUGGGAGGUUGAGGCUGCAGUGAGCUGAGAUCACACCACUGCACUCCAGUCUGAGUGACAGAGUGAGACCCCGUCUCAAAAUAAUAAUAGGGGAAACUGGGUGUAGAUUAUAGAGAACUCUCUGUACUAUCUUUGAAAUUUUUCUGUAAAUCUAAAACUUUUAAAAUAAGGUUUAAAAAAUAAACAUUGCUUUGGCUACUCGGUGGAGAAUUUAGUGUAGUAGGAGAGGAAUGAAAGUAGGGAGACGAAUUAGUAAUCCUAGCUUUGCUACUUUCUGGCUGUGCCACAUUGAGUUAUUUUACUAUACCUUUAUUUUCUUGUCUAUAAAAUGGGAAUAUUUAGUGAAAGUGAUGUGGAGAGGAUUUAAUGAUAUAAUGUAGGAGGCAGCACAAUGCUCUACAAAUGCUGAUAAUUAUAACUCAAAAUAAAAUUGUAUCUAAUAAACUUAUUAUACACCUCUUAUGUGUAAAUCCAGCAAGUAGCAAAGGCAGAACUCUUAAACUGAAGAUAAACACUGCAAAGCUUACUCAUAAGGAGGACACAUGGUUCUGGGGUUUAAUAAAAUUCUAGAAUCUUGGUAGUCAAAGCAUUAUGUUCACACCACUAAAACUCAAGGAAGUUCCCAGGUCCAGUGAGCAACUCGGGGGUUGUAGCAUCUAGAGCAAAAGAUGCCCAGAAAAAAAACUAAAGCUGAAGGCCUCUUAAUUGAUCUCUACUUAGUGAGCAUAGCAGGUAUACUGGAAGGGUCUCGGCUUCCUGUGGAAAACACAGCUUGCGUGCUUAACAAGACUCGUCUGUUCCUCACUGGAACAAAUGCACUUGCAAUUAUGUCAUCUAAUUAAAUAACAAAUAAACCAGUGAGAUACGAGGAUGAAAAGAGGGUUUCUAUUUCUAGGAAAACCAAGUUGAAUGAGUUGGAGACUCCAUAGAGAUGGGCUUCUAGAAUAAAAUGGCACUGACUUAGCUGAAGGACUGAAAAAGGAAGCUGAACUUGCAACAUGUGAGAACAUUUUGUGCAAAGGAGACAACCUGGAGCUCCAGAGGACCUACACUCAGUGAAUGGGCUUGGUCCUACAUCCAAAUAUACAUGAGGACAUGCAGAGAAAUGUUCAAGUAUAUAGGUAUCAUUUUUGUGGUUCCCUAUUUUAACUUAUUUAAAAAUGUAGUAACAGUAUUUUUAACAUAGGCAAAAGGAGAGAAAAUAAUGUAUUUCCAUAUACUCAAACUAGGUUAAACAGUUACAAAGAUUUUUGACACAUUUGCUUCAUCUAUCCCAUAUUUUAUUUCUCUCUCAAGUAUUUUAAUGCAAAUUCUUGAAAACAAUCACCCCUACAGACGUCAGCAGACAUCUGCAGAAAUAUUUUAAGCCAGCUUUUGAUUGCUGACCAACCUGUGGUACAGGUAACAGGACUCCUACUGGGUACCAAGUCAUUCACCUACAGGCCUACCUUUCCCCUCUCUUUGCUUCAACCCAGAAGACCUCAAGGCAAAUAAACUGAUUCCUGGAUCCUGAGUGGUUCCUGGUUCACGUGGAAGGACAUCUCUGAAGCUUCAACUCAGUGAUUUACUUCCCCAAACCUAUUCCUUUCAUCCUUACAAUGAAACCACCUGUGUAACAACCCGAUUCUUUGAACGUUUUCUGGGAGUCCAGAGCAAGCCGAAACUUUCAGUGAACAUCCUAAGGCAAUCUGUAUUGAACCAGGUUCACUCCAAAAACCCAGUUGGGGCCAUUUCUCAAGGAGCUCAGAACAACCCGAGGAAUGGAUUCAUGGGCUGUCCUAAAGUAGCCUUACUCACAGGUAUCAGAGAAUUCACUUGCUUCUAGGCCCUUGGAUUGCUUUAAUUCUUUCAAUUUUCUUUUGUUCAACAACAUAAAAAAUAUAUUCUACUUAUUGCAAUUUUUACAUGUCACAUUCUGAAUAUUAUCCUGUACCAGUGGCUUCUUGGUUGUUAUAUAACUUGUUUGGUAAAGUUAUGCUGACAGCUUUAAUGAGGCGAUGUCAUGUGAUGCACGAAUUUCCCCUGGUGCUGAAUGUGGACAUUAGCAACUCAGUAUCGUGUGUUAGGGCAGUGGAGAAUCAGGGUGUAUCUAAUAAAUUCCUUCAUGGAGCUCUCAUGCCA